ACAGGCUUCCUGGAAAGGUCCCUUCACUCCUGAAAAGUCAACCCUUCUCCUGAGCAGGUGAUCUGAUUCAUCCCAAUAUGUGUUCUGCGAUGACUUAGAAUCAUUGCGCAACCAGGAGGAGAAGCCAACGUACCGAUCUCAGCCGAACAGGAAGUUGGGUGUGGACUAGAUUACUGCACUCCUGAAUGAGCCUGCUCUCCAGAGACUCCCCAUUCACAGCGCAAGUGUUGUUCCUACAGUGCUGCAGUUGUGUUUAAAGAGAGAGAGAGAAUGAGAUUUAAAAUACCAUGAUGCGGGAACUGGUGAGAUGCAUUUUAAGUAGAAAAAUCUGAAAUAGUGUAAUUUUUGGAAAACAAAAAUAUACAUCUAUUGUUUACACUGACAAAA
ensembl:lincRNA 4930434O05Rik RIKEN cDNA 4930434O05 gene